rnacentral:rRNA from 1 species
UACGAAGGGGGCUAGCGUUGCUCGGAAUUACUGGGCGUAAAGGGAGCGUAGGCGGACAUUUAAGUCAGAGGUGAAAUCCCGGAGCUUAACUUCGGAACUGCCUUUGAUACUGGAUGUCUUGAGUGUGAGAGAGGUAUGUGGAACUCCGAGUGUAGAGGUGAAAUUCGUAGAUAUUCGGAAGAACACCAGUGGCGAAGGCGACAUACUGGCUCAUUACUGACGCUCAUGCACGAAAGCGUGGGGAGCAAACAGG